GGCGAGCUGACCAGCAUCCGCGUGAGGGAUGAAUGCCUGUGGGUCGUAAACCUCUUUUUUCAAGGAGGAAGUUCUGACGUGUACUUGAAGAAUAAGCAUCGGCUAACUCCGUGCCAGCAGCCGCGGUAAGACGGAGGAUGCAAGUGUUAUCCGGAAUUACUGGGCGUAAAGCGUCUGUAGGUGGUUUAGUAAGUCGAUUGUUAAAGCUUGGGGCUUAACUCCAAAACAGCAAUGGAAACUGCUAGACUUGAGUAUGGUAGAGGUAAAAGGAAUUUCCAGUGGAGCGGUGAAAUGCGUAGAUAUUGGAAAGAACACCGAUGGCGAAGGCAUUUUACUGGGCCAUAACUGACACUCAGAGACGAAAGCUAGGGUAGCAAAUGGGAUUAGAUAUCCCCAGUAGUCCUAGCUGUAAACGAGUGGAUAUCUAUGAUGUUGUCAGCGUAUCGACCCUGUGCAGUGUCAUAGCUAAACGCGUUAAGUAUCCCGCCUGGGAAGUAUGCACGCAAGUGUG
rnacentral:rRNA from 1 species